GGUUAUAUGACUGUAAGUCAUUCCAUUCAAAUGCUAUUGAAGUUAGAAACGUGUAUAACAAUGUCGUAUGAAACUUUAGAGACGGUCCCUUAAUUUCCUCAUAUCUGCGAAUAUCGAACGUCCAACCAACUUUAUUCCAGUGUUUAACUCCAUAUAUACAAUUAGCUGUAUUUAUUUUUGAUAAUAACCAUUUAUUAAUAAAUAUUCAUAUUAUCUGAGUCACAUGUUCUCCAAGGGUUAAAGGAGCAGCAGUGACGUGUGGAGGUCGGACUUCAGGCUUCUCCAAAAGAAAUCCAGUGAUUCACUUCUUUUGCUAUCAUGCCAUAAAUGACAAGCUCAAGCAAAACUCCACUAACGACACGGAUUUCUGGCACAUUAAAAGAACCCUGGUAUGAUGAGUUGGUUUAUUCAGAAGCUCAACCCAUUUAAAUCAACUUCAAAGUGUUCCAGUACACCUGAAUCAAGCAGUAAGUCUUCACACAUUGGCAACAAUGGAGAUGAUAACCCCACAGAACACAAACAGUGUUCCAGCUCUUCUGAAUCAGGCAGCAAGUCUUCCCUCAUUGAUAACAAUGGAGAUGAUAAACCCACUGCACCCAGACGGAGCUGCAACGAUCAAAUUUCUUCUCAAAACACAGACAAAAACAAUCAGGAAAGAAUGUCGGCAUCCAGUGCAUCCACUGAACCUGAGUCUACCAAGAUGCCUGGGUUUGAAUGGGACCACUUUAAGAAGGACUCUGUUGAGAAUACAACUGAAGCAGAAAUGGUGGAGACAAGUGAAGCUAGUCCUCUGCACACUGAUGAUGAUGAAGAAGGAUUAUUGGAGUGGUGGAGAAAUGUGGAAGGGUGGAAUGAAUGGAACGAGGCAACAAACUUUGAGGGAGACGAUGCAGAUCAAGCAAUAGAAGCAGCUGCAGAUCGUGUCUUCAAGGCUGCCCGUCUCUUCGUUUAUUUAUUCAAACAGCGAGAAGCACCACUGUAUAUGCGAGUCGUUGAGUUGCUGGCGGUUGCUGAUGCAGCAGACAGCUUCCAUAAGAAAACUGUGACUGCUAGCAUUGGAGGAGGAGUGGCUAGCGUAGCCGGUAGCAUCACCACCAUCACAGGAUUGGCGCUGGCACCUUUCACUUUUGGCUCAUCACUUAUUGUAACAGCAGUGGGCAUCGGCGUUGCAACAGCGGGGGGUCUCACAUCAGCAUCCGCCAACAUCACAGACACAAUGCACUCAAGGACAGACCGGGCCAAAGUGGAGCAGGUCAUCCUUGGCUACCAGGAGGAGAUAAAGGACAUUAGAAAAUGCCUUCAGUUCUUGCAGACAGGUAUGGAGACACUGGAAGAGUGCAACUUCCACCAGUACAUGGAUAGCAUCUCUACGCGUGCAAUGAACAAGAAUGUGAAGCAUGUAAUGAGGGAGGGGGGGCGGGCUGGCAAGGCAUUACUUAUCAAUGCUGAGAGCCUGGCGAGCACUGUGCAAGUGCUCAGCACCGCCGGUGGGGUUGCCAAAGCCACUCAGGUCCUCAGUAUCGCUAGCGGGGUCAUGUCUGGCCUUUUCUUGGCCCUUGAUGUUUUCUUUUUAGCCAAAGACUCCAGGGAGCUGCACAAAGGGGCCAAGACAAAGUUUGCGGCCAAGAUUAGGGAUGUGUGCAAGGAACUGCUGGACGGCCUUAUUGAGCUGAAGAGGAUUAAAAAACAGCUGCAGACAAUCAUGAAUGAUGCAGAGGAGGAGGAAGAGGAGGGAGAAGAUGAUGAUGAGGAAGAAGAAGAGGAGAAGGAAGAAGAAAAGUGCAAGAAAGAUCAGAGAGCACAGAGGUGAAGAGGAUAAUGAGAAUAAAGGACAGAGAGAAAGAAGAUUUGGAAAACUAUUAAGCACAGAGAACUGUAAAAAGGAGAAAGCAAGAAUGUUCAGAUACUGAGCUGUCAUGUUCCAGUACGUGAUGGAGUUGAGGACAGAUGCAAGUGCAGUUAAACAGUUUUAUUAAAGGAGAUAAAGGCAGACAAAUCCAAAUCAUUAGACAGAAGUGUGGUCAAAACAGGCAAUGGGUCAGGCAAUCAGCAAAAAGGCAUAAAUAGGGCGAGACUUGAAUCAGAGUCGGGAAACGAGAAACGAGGUCAAUAAACAUGAAACAAAACGAGAUGAGAACAAAUGGCCCACACCCAUCUGCUCGGCGGCCAACUGGGGCCACGAAACACCCUGGAAAAGCUAAGGGAUCGCUUUGUCUGGCCAGGGAUGGACGCAGAAGUCCGGGGCUUCUGCCAACGUUGCCCCCAGUGCCAGCGCACCGCCCCACGGAGGCCCCCGCCGGCUCCCCUUAUUUCAUUGCCUGUCAUAGGCGUCCCCUUUGAGCGGGUUGGUAUGGACCUCAUGGGGCCACACCCCAAGUCCGCCCGGGGUCACGAGUACAUACUCAUCAUCCUGGACUAUGCCACCCGAUACCCCGAGGCAGUGCCCCUCCGCAAAGCCACCUCCUGCAAUAUCGCGAAAGAGCUGAUGCUCCUCUUCAGCCGCGUGGGGAUACCAAAGGACAUCUUAACCGACCAAGGUAUGCCUUUUGAAUCCAAGCCAAAGUCUGAUCUGUGUCGGUUGUUGCAGGUUAAGCACCUGAAAGUGUCUGCCACCCUGAGACCGACGGGCUCGUCAAAAGUUUCAACCAAACCUUAAAGCAACUUCUAUGGAGGGUGAUGAAUGAGGAAGGAAGAAACUGGGACCUCCUCCUGCCCUAUGUACUUUUCGCUGUCCACGGGCUUCACUCCCUUCGAACUCCUCUUCGGACGGUGACCUCGAGGACUGCUGGAUGUGGCUCGGGAAGCCUGGGAGGAACAGCCCUCCCCAUUCUGCUCGGUCAUUGAAUAUGUGCAGGAAAUGCAGGAGAAGAUUGACCGAGUGGCCCUGAUCGUCCAGGAGCACAUGAAAGCCAACCCAGGAGGAGCAGAAGUGAGUGUACAACCUGCCAGCGCAACCCCGAGAGUUCCAACCUGGCGACCGGGUGUUCCUGCUAGUACCGAACAGUUCCUGCAAGUUCCUAGCUUGAUGGCAAGGGCCCUACACCGUCCUCGAGAGGAAGGGGCCUGUGAACUAUUGCCUGCAACAGCCCGGAUGCGUUGGAAAAAGAACUAAACUAAUUCAUGUGCCAGCAGCACAAUUCAUAAAAUUAUGCACAUACAGGUAAGACCUUCAGUUAGUAUUCACAUCAAACAUUACUAUGGUGAAGAAAUAUCUCAGUGAUCUCAGUGAUAGCGGUAUGGUUGUUAGUGCCUGAAAAGCAGGUUUGAGAAUUUUUAGAAACUAAUCUUCACAGCAAUCUCUUGAGUUAACACAGAAUGAUGAUUCUUUUAUAAUUCAACUGUGGUGAGCAGAAAAGCAUCUUGCAACAUCAUCAAGACAAAUAAGGUGGAUAAGCUACAACCAAAUUAGGUUCCACUCCUCUCUGUCAGCCAAGAACAGGAAAUUAAUGAAACUGGACAGGUUAAGAUUGGAAAAACUUUGCUUGAUCUGAUAAAUCUUGAUUUCUGUUGUGACAUGUAGAUGGUGAAACUGGCAUCAGCAGUAUGAACCUAAAUUGUGUCAACAGUCCAGGCUGCAUGCUGCUGGAGGUAUAAUGGUGUGGAGAAUGUUUUCUUUCAAUUCUGUGAUGCCAUCAUGUUAAAAUGGACCAGCAUCUCAAACACCAUGUGAAAUUCAUACUAUGAGGAACUGAAGCUGUUCUGAUAGCAAGGUUGGUCCUACCCAGUAUUAGUAAGGUGUUCUUAUUAAAGUGGCUGCUGAGUGUAUAUACAGAAGCAAGUAAAAUUUUGUACUCUCUGUGAUUUCAGUAAUGCAAAAUGUAUGUAAAAUACUACUACAGAA